UACGUAGGGUGCAAGCGUUAAUCGGAAUUACUGGGCGUAAAGCGUGCGCAGGCGGCUAUGCAAGACAGAUGUGAAAUCCCCGGGCUCAACCUGGGAACUGCCAUUUUGUGACUGCAUAGCUAGAGUACGGUAGAGGGGAUGGAAUUUUCCACGUGUAGCAGUGAAAAUGCGUAGAUAUGUGGAGGAACACCGAUGGCGAAGGCAGCCCUGGGUCGAAGACUGACGCUCAUGCACGAAAGCGUGGGGAGCAAACAGG
rnacentral:rRNA from 1 species